ensembl:snRNA U1 U1 spliceosomal RNA
UCACAUACUUGGCAGAGAGAUACCAUGAUCGUGAAGGCAGUUUCCCAAGGAUAAGAGCCUUCUAUUGAACUAGAGAUGCACUAAUGACCCUUAUGAUUUUUUACAAAUGCAGGAAAUCUAACAAAAUAAUCUGUAGAAAUGGGGAACUAUGUCUGCCUUUUCCCCUA